rnacentral:tmRNA from 1 species
GGGGCCGUUUUUUGGUUUCGACAAAAUAUAUAUUCUGUUUUACAUGCAAGUGGUUGCUAUCCUAAAUAGCAAAACAGUUAAAAUAACUGACAAAACAAAUUAUAAUACAGCUCUAGCAUUUGCCUAAUAGUUGGCACGGAGCACUGGUUUAAGACUAAAUCUACAGAGUUUUAAAUUGGUUUAUAAUAGUAGAUUAUAUUAAAUAGAUUGCUUAGUUUGUUUAACGAAAAUUUUAAAGCUUAGCUAGUAGUAAUUUAGAUAGUUUUCUUCCUACUAGUGAAAUAACAAAUUAUCUAAACUUGUAGAUUGUACUAUGGAAGUAUUUUGGACAGCAGUUCAAUUCUGCUCGGCUCCACCA